UACGUAGGGGGCAAGCGUUGUCCGGAAUUAUUGGGCGUAAAGAGCGCGUAGGCGGUCCGAUAAGUCGGCUGUGAAAGUCAGGGGCUCAACCCUUGAAAGCCGGCCGAUACUGUCGGACUAGAGUCCGGAAGAGGCAAGUGGAAUUCCCGGUGUAGCGGUGAAAUGCGCAGAUAUCGGGAGGAACACCAAUGGCGAAGGCAGCUUGCUGGGACGGUACUGACGCCUGAGGCGCGGAAAGCGUGGGGAGCAAACAGG
rnacentral:rRNA from 1 species